CCUACGGGAGGCAGCAGUGAGGAAUAUUGGUCAAUGGACGCUAGCCUGAACCAGCCAAGUAGCGUGAAGGAUGACUGCCCUAUGGGUUGUAAACUUCUUUUAUAUGGGAAUAAAGUGCAGUAUGUAUGCUUUUUUGCAUGUACCUUAUGAAUAAGGAUCGGCUAACUCCGUGCCAGCAGCCGCGGUAAUACGGAGGAUCCGAGCGUUAUCCGGAUUUCUUGGGUUUAAAGGGAGCGUAGGCGGGUUGUUAAGUCAGUUGUGAAAGUUUGCGGCUCAACCGUAAAAUUGCAGUUGAUACUGGCAGGAUUGAGUACAGUAGAGGUAGGCGGAAUUCGUGGUGUAGCGGUGAAAUGCUUAGAUAUCACGAAGAACUCCGAUUGCGAAGGCAGCCUGCUGGACUGUAACUGACGCUGAUGCUCGAAAGUGUGGGUAUCAAACAGGAUUAGAUACCCCAGUAGUC
rnacentral:rRNA from 1 species